GAUGAACGCUGGCGGCGUGCUUAACACAUGCAAGUCGAACGGUGAAGCCAAGCUUGCUUGGUGGAUCAGUGGCGAACGGGUGAGUAACACGUGAGCAACCUGCCCUGGACUCUGGGAUAAGCGCUGGAAACGGCGUCUAAUACUGGAUAUGAGCCUCUUCCGCAUGGUGGGGGUUGGAAAGAUUUUUUGGUCUGGGAUGGGCUCGCGGCCUAUCAGCUUGUUGGUGAGGUAAUGGCUCACCAAGGCGUCGACGGGUAGCCGGCCUGAGAGGGUGACCGGCCACACUGGGACUGAGACACGGCCCAGACUCCUACGGGAGGCAGCAGUGGGGAAUAUUGCACAACGGGCGAAAGCCUGAUGCAGCAACGCCGCGUGAGGGAUGACGGCCUUCGGGUUGUAAACCUCUUUUAGCAGGGAAGAAGCGAAAGUGAUGGUACCUGCAGAAAAAGCGCCGGCUAACUACGUG
rnacentral:rRNA from 1 species